UUCAAAUUCUCAUUUCUUAAAAAAAAAACCCUUCACCCCUUUUUCUCUCAAAACAUUUCCCCUCCUCCGGCGGAAACCCAGAAUCCGGCGAAGGAGACCACCGUGCCUCCGUCGCGCCGGCGUCACGUGCGGUGGCCGGAAAUUCAUAAGAGGUAUUUUUUUUUUGCGAAUAUCAACUAUUCUUUUUUAUUAGUAUAUGUAUAUUAUAUGUAUAAAAGUAAAAAAAACAGAUCUAAAGGGAAAGAUGCGAAAAGAAAAAAAAGGAUUCACCUUAAGAUCUUUGUUUAAUCCGUUUUUGUGUUACAUAAAUAGCUUCUUUUUUUUUUUUUUUUUAGAAAAAGUCCCUUUUCAUGUUACAAGUUCGGCUUUUAUAGCCUAUUUUUGUUACUGUUUUUGAUAUAUUUUCCUUGCUUCUUUCUCCUUUGCAGAUGCCAGUGGUGAUGGGAGCAGGUGGUGGUAGGUGCGGCGCGGAGGGGGCAGGUAAUGAUGUUGGUGGCUGCGGUACUAGGCUAGGGUUUCAGUUCUGAAACCCUAGUUUAACUAAUCCUCUUGGGUCAGAUUUGGGGUUUGGGCUGGAUAUUGGGCUUGGGGUAUUGGGUUAGGUUAGUUGGGUUUAAUUAUUUUUGUUUUGUUUGUUAGGCCCGGGAAAAUGGGCUUGUACAACAAUAAUACAUGGAAAAUCAAGCCAGUCUGCAUAGCUUGCAGCUGCACCAUGCCCAAUUAUUUAAUUACAAAACUUUUUUUUUAAUAAAAAACAAAUUCUUUUAUUACAAUUUAAUUUAACAUUAUAUUUUGAAAUCUACUGGUACGAGUUGAAUCUAAAUUAU
rnacentral:lncRNA from 1 species